UUAAAUGUGUUACCUGUCCAUAGGUUCACCUUUAUCAAAAAUGUAAUGGACUGCUCACAGCUUAUAUCUUUUGUACUCAAAAUUUAUUAAUUGUUU
rnacentral:telomerase_RNA from 1 species